rnacentral:snoRNA from 1 species
AACCCAUGGAGAGGGCACCUUCUCAAAAGGUCCCUGUAUCUCUCCCAUGCAUCGCAGAGUGUUUCUAAAUCCAUCUACACAAAAAAAGAGAUAUUAUUAUAUAAUUUGGCU